GAGAUCAUACUUCACAGAAUCAUUUCUGUAGUGUGUAUUUCUUCGCUUUUAGCGAAAAUGCGACGGAGCGCAGCUGCGAUGAUGUGGCAUGGCGUCAUCUCCUGAGCGGGAAAGAGUGUUUUGCCUUUAUUGGGCAUUACACUUGAUGACUGCAUGGAGAACCUUGAGGUUUUCCGGAAGGAGUUGACGUGUGCUGAGCGGU
rfam:Brugia malayi, FR3, WGS project CAPY01000000 data, contig: ctg1511377m